rnacentral:lncRNA from 1 species
UGAAGGGGCCUCUGAAUUCUUAAUCCGGGCCUGGUUAGAGUUAGUUUAUAGUAUUUAAAACUAGCUGUAUUAAGCUGUCCUCAUUUAGAUAGCUAAGUAAACAUGUGUGUGAGUGGACAUGUGUGUGUGUGUGUGUGUGUGUGUGUGUGUGUGUGUGUGUGUGUGUGUGUGUGAAAGAGAGAGAGAAAAAAAGAAACUUGUAAUAAACUGAGGUAGCAUAAAAAAGGUAACAUUUAUUAAUUUCAACAUUUAUAUAUUUUAGACCAGGGUCAAUCAUCACCUCAACACGACUAGCUUUCAGCUUCAACCAAACUAUCCCAUCCGUUCAAGAGAUUUCAAACACCCUCUUGACAGCAGUGGGAACAGGAGAUGUCAAUUUACUGAAGAUAAUCCCUCAAUCAAUUUCAGUCAAUGGUUCAGCUGCAACAGUCGCUCCCACAGCAACUACAGCAAGUACAACAACUACAGCAACCACAGCAACCACAGCAACUACAGCUUCAGGCGGAUUAAAGAUUGAAUCCAGUCUGUUCCAAGCAACAUGCCUCAUUAUUAUGUCUAAAAUAUUAAACUUUUUCCUAUAGAUCCCUUAAACAUAUAUCAACCAAACAUGAGAGUUCAACAAGACACACUGUAACAAAUUAAUUCAACACAAAAUGUAUUUAUUAUUAUAAUUAAAUUGUAUAUAGUAUUUCCCACUCUCACAUACUAGUAUAGAGCAAUAUAAAGAUACGUUUGAUAAUGCAUUGUUCCUGAAGAACUUAACAGUAGAUAUCUGUUUAACAGCAGGCUGUUUUCUGGGAGGGAGAAGUAAAUAUUUUUCCGCAUGCAUUUCCUUUAAUUGUAAACAUUGUAAAUGUUGUUUAACUGUUUUGAGGUUAAAUACUGGUUAUACUACUUCUUUUUGUUUGUCUAAUAAGUUCUAACAUUGUAAUAUGUCAUAUUUUAAUGAAAUAAAAAUAUGUAUUAAAUUAUGUAGUCCAAAAUAUUUUGCUUUCAUGAAAAGACA